GUUGAACGCUAACGGCAGGCUUAACACAUGCAAGUCGAGGGGUAACAGAGGUAGCUUGCUAUUUGCUGACGACCGGCGCACGGGUGCGUAACGCGUAUAGAACCUACCUUUUACAGAGGGAUAGCCCAGAGAAAUUUGGAUUAAUACCUCAUAGUAUUAUAAAGUGGCAUCAUUUAAUAAUUAAAACUUCGGUGGUAAAAGAUGGCUAUGCGUUCUAUUAGCUAGAUGGUAAGGUAACGGCUUACCAUGGCAACGAUAGAUAGGGGUCCUGAGAGGGAGAUCCCCCACACUGGUACUGAGACACGGACCAGACUCCUACGGGAGGCAGCAGUGAGGAAUAUUGGACAAUGGAGGUAACUCUGAUCCAGCCAUGCCGCGUGCAGGAAGACGGCCCUAUGGGUUGUAAACUGCUUUUAUAUAGGAAGAAACCGUUCCACGUGUGGAACUCUGACGGUACUAUAUGAAUAAGCACCGGCUAACUCCGUGCCAGCAGCCGCGGUAAUACGGAGGGUGCAAGCGUUAUCCGGAAUCAUUGGGUUUAAAGGGUCCGUAGGCGGGCUAAUAAGUCAGGGGUGAAAUACCACAGCUCAACUGUGGAACUGCCUUUGAUACUGUUAGUCUUGAAUUAUAUGGAAGUAGAUAGAAUGUGUAGUGUAGCGGUGAAAUGCUUAGAGAUUACACAGAAUACCGAUUGCGAAGGCAGUCUACUACGUAUA
rnacentral:rRNA from 1 species